rnacentral:rRNA from 1 species
CCCUUAGAUGUCCUGGGCCGCACGCGCGUUACACUGAUGCAUUCAACGAGUCUAAAACCUGGUCUGAUAGGGCUGGGUAAUCUUUUGAAAGUGCAUCGUGAUUGGGAUAGAUGAUUGCAAUUCUUCAUCUUCAACGAGGAAUGCCUAGUAAACGCAAGUCAUCAGCUUGCAUUGAUUACGUCCCUGCCCUUUGUACACACCGCCCGUCGCUCCUACCGAUUGAAUGAUCCGAUGAAUACCAUGGAUUGAGAGUACGAAUAGGUUCGCUUAUUUCUGCUGCUCGAGAAGUGGAGUAAAUCUUAUCAUUUAGAGGAAGGAGAAGUCGUAACA